rnacentral:rRNA from 1 species
AUACGGAGGGUGCGAGCGUUAAUCGGAAUUACGGGGCGUAAAGCGUACGUAGGUGGUUUGUUGAGUCAGAUGUGAAAGCCCUGGGCUCAACCUGGGAAUGGCAUUUGAAACUGACGAGCUAGAAUAUGGUAGAGGGAAGUGGAAUUCCGGGUGUAGCGGUGAAAUGCGUAGAUAUCCGGAGGAACACCAGUGGCGAAGGCGGCUUCCUGGACCAAUAUUGACGCUGAGGUACGAAAGCGUGGGUAGCAAACAGGAUUAGAAACCCCGGUAGUCC